rnacentral:rRNA from 1 species
UACGGGGGGUGCGAGCGUUGUCCGGAAUUACUGGGCGUAAAGGGCGCGUAGGCGGCCUGUUAAGUCGAACGUGAAAUCCCCGGGCUCAACCCGGGAACUGCGUCCGAUACUGGCAGGCUUGAAUUCGGGAGAGGGAUGUGGAAUUCCAGGUGUAGCGGUGAAAUGCGUAGAUAUCUGGAGGAACACCGGUGGCGAAGGCGGCAUCCUGGACCGGAUAUUGACGCUGAUGCGCGAAAGCCAGG